GGAACGGUAACCUCCAGGUACCAGGGAAAGCUGUGUGUUCUUCGAGCAGCGGCGGCAGCCACCCCCUUGUCUUUACCGGAAGUGAGGUGCUUGUCUAUGAGGAGAACAGUGAGCAGCUCAUUUCCAGGGUCCCAGGACAGCAGCAGUGGAGGAAGCACAUGACACAGCAGAAGGUGUCUGCAAAACACUCGCGCAUAGCUGUGUCUUAUUUCACCAUCAAGCACCAGGACCCCAAAGUCCUCCCUCACCUAGUAAAGGCCAUAUAUGAACAUCAUAUGGCCAACAUUAUACUUAACGGUGAAAAGCGUAAAGAAUUUCCCUUUAAAUCUGGAACAAAACAAGGAUGCCCACUGUCGCCAUUGCUGUUCAACAUUGUUCUGGAAU